CCAUCUUGCGCUAUAUAUCGCCCCAGUUCCCCCGUGAAAUUUACUGAAAAAUAAUAAACGAUUGGGCUUCCUGUUGUUCCCGUCAUACCCUGCCGCCUCAUCCCCCCCCAGUUUCCCGCGGCCAGUCUUUCGAACCCGUGUCGUGUGAAGAGUGGCUUCGUUCUCUCGCUUCUUCCUUUAGUGAUCGAGAUCGUCGUAAAGAAAGACUAAACGACCGCCAUGAUCACAGACAUGCAACUUGCUGCCUUCGCCAACAUCCUUGGUGUGACCCUGUUCCUACUUGUUGUCCUGUACCACUAUGUUGCAGUCAAUAACCCCAA